UUGAAUUUGAAAUGCCUGCAACGGUCACAUUUACUGGUCCACUCCUUCUAUUAUACAUCUCUUCUCUCUCUCUAACACAACACAACCCACACACAUUCUCUCUCUAAGCCCUUGCUCUCCCUACAAUGGCUUCUCUCACUCCAGGUAUCCUUCUAAAGCUCCUCCAAUCCAUGAACUCUAACACCAAAGUCGCCGGCGAGCACCGUUCCGCCCUCCUCCAAGUCAUCGGCAUCGUUCCUGCCCUCGCCGGCUCCGAUCUCUGGCCCAACCACGGCUUUUACGUCCAGCUCUCCGACUCCCUCAACUCCACCUACGUCUCCCUCUCUGACCGCGACACCGACCUCAUCCUCACCAAUCGUCUCCAACUCGGCCAAUUCGUCUAUGUAGAUCGCUUCGACUUCGACUCUCCCGUUCCCCGUGUUUGCGGCAUCCGCCCAAUUGCCGGCCGCCACCCAUUUGUUGGAAGUCCUGAACCACUCAUUGCUCGCAUUUCCCCUUCGAAAAAGGAUUUUGUCAUUCAGCCCGUUUCAGAUUGGGAUCAGUCGGUUGAUCCAAUUGCGGCCUAUUUGUCGAACAAGAAAAUUGACGAUGUGAAAAAUGAUGGUAAGGAAUCGAAAAUUGAGACCAAGGGGGAAAAGGGUAGAACAAGGCAGGUUCUUGGUACUAGGGACAAUAAUGGGGAUUUGGACGAAACUAAGGUUUCGGAUAGGCCUCAGCGGUUCUCAUCUCCGGCAGGUGCGAAAAGAUCAGUCUCUGCUGGGAAGAAGAAUGUGGCGGUUGCGGAGAGAGAUCCGUCUCCAGCAGGGAAAGGGAAGAGGUCAGCGUCACCAGUACCAUCUAAGUGUAUGGUUCCUAGUUUGGUUGUGGCACGAGAAGAGAAUAGGAAGACAUCGAGGGAACCUGCAAUUAUAGUGCCUUCGAGGUAUAGGCAGCCAUCUCCAAAUGGGCGGAAACAGGCCUCACCCAAUGCAAGGAGAGCUUCAAUUUCUCCAGGGAGAAGGUUGUCAGGCGGUUUGAAGUUUUCGCCUGCUGUUGGGGGUGCCCCAGAUUCUACUAGCAAGAAGAAGAUGGCAACUAUAGUUGCUGGGAUUUCAAAGGUUUCUGAAGCUCUGGUUGGGUCUGCAAAGGCAGGUAGGAAGAGUUGGGACGAACCACCAGCGGCGGUGGGCUCUGGGGAGCUGAAAGAGAAAAGCCUUGCAAAAAUUAAACCAGAUGUGCAAGCUAUUUUGCGAACUCAGGCUGCUAUUUCUAGGCGUCUAAGUGAUGUGCAUGGUCGACAAGCAAACCAGGAUGAUUCUUCUACCAAUGAGAAAACAAAACCUAACUCAGCAGAAGGAUGUCUGGUACCAGAGAAGCCGACCUGUGAGGCUCCAGCAAUUACAGUUCAUGAGAAGAAAUGGACUGAUGGCAGUGUUCCAUUGGAUACAGUCUCUUCCAGCCUUGCAAAACUAGGAAAGGAGGCUAUGCAAAGGAGAGUUCUUGCUUCUAAAGCCGCAGCUGAAGCUUUGGAAGAGGCCACUGCUACGGAGUCUAUUAUAAGGAGUUUAAGCAUGUUUUCGGAGCUUUGUUCAAAAUGCAAGGUUGGAAAUCCUUUACCCACUAUAGAUCGAUUUUUGUCAAUCUAUGAUGAAGUCAUGAGAUCAACCGCAUUCGCUGAAUCAGUUAGCACUUGUCACCGCUCUGACAUACCUCAUGACAGUUCAAAUUCUACUUCUCUUUGGGUUGAAGCUGCUUUAGCCACUGAUCUUGGCAUAGUCUCACUCCUAACGGGACUGAAUAUCGACUCUCAGCCAACAUUGCAGAAGAGUACAUCAAAACGACAGGCUCUCACUGCACCUGCCAAAAACCAUCUGAAGGUUUCCUCAUUGCCAGCUUCAGAUCCUACUAUCGGUUCAUGGACGAGGGGUAAUGGGAUGAAAGAGACCAUAGAACUUGCAAUGAAUUUGCAGUCUGAGAUGCAAAUGUGGUUUGUGAAGUUUGUUGAGGAGUCCCUAGAUGCAGGUUUCCGGGUGUUUAGGGAGUCCAAGGCUGAUGUCUGCAGCAUGCUGCCUCCAGAAUGUGGCCCAAUUGCAGCAAUCUUAUCACAGUUGAAGAGAGUAAACGAUUGGUUAGAUCGCGUGGCUUCAAAACAAGAUGAGUUGCUGACAGAAAAGAUCGAACGAUUAAAGAGAAAGAUCUAUGGAUUUGUUAUUCAUCAUGUGGGAACAAGUCUGGAUAACUCCUCCUCCAUUCCUUCCUCUUGCAUCUCCAUGUCCUAGUUGCUUAAGCCCAUUAAGACAACUCAGGCCUCUCGACUGAAUUGUUUCAUUCUUAAUGUAACCAGCCCCUCCAUUUUCAUUGAAAAUGAUAUUUGCUUCAUUCUCAGAACAGCUAGUUUCUUCUAUCAGUAAAUCAUUUGAGAUUUUGCUUCCUUGCAAAAGAAAGAAAAUCAUGACUAGGAUUCUUGUUGUUUGGUAGUGGAAAUUAUGGCAUUAACUUUAUGCCCUUUUCUUGUCAAGAGGAUAAGGGAUAAACAAAUUCGUACAAACACAACACAUGAUGGAAUUCUGAUGGCCAGGGUAACAGGAGUAUUGUGCUGUUUUCUUUUCUUCCUGAAUUUUUCCUUUUUGGUGAAAUUGGUAGGGGUUUUACAUGUUGUUUCAUUGGAAGGCUAGAUUUUACACAAGAUCCCUCGUCCGUCCCGUCAGUGCUUGUAAAUUAUUUAUUUUAAUUUUAAAAAAUAAAAAAUAAAUUGCCGACCCUCUCACUGCCAUAGGAGGUGAAAAUGAAAUUGAAUUCCCAAUGUAUCUGUCCUGUGUUUUGAUUCUUGUCCUUGAAGUGAAAAGGGGUUUAGUCAUUUUCUGGAUACGUUUCUCAUAUGUUUGGGCCCUAUGGGCCCCUCUUAGCACCACAAGUUUGACCAAACUCUUCGUUGCUUUUCAUAUUCUUUUCCCCCUUUGGAUCCAAUCAUAAUUCGUAUGAAAACAGAAAACCUACCACUCAAGAUUUGUUUUUGAAAACAGUUUAUUUGUUUUCAAAACAAGAUUUUAUGAACUGGUUUCUAUUUUGAGGCCCAUAACAGAACCAAACCGAGGCCCAUUAACGCGCAUGGGUGCCAAGUGUCCUCAUCCACAACCACACGUAAUGAGAAGCAGGUGCUGCCAAGUGGCAGUAGGGUCCACAAGAACCCAUCUUGAUGGGGUGCACGGUGUGGGCGCGAAGCUGAGAAUCAACGCCCAGGAGCCACGCCGAGGUGGGGUGGUCACCCUGGGGGAGCUGGAGAGGGUUUCUUUCGCUGGUUUCUGUAUUUAUAUAUAAAACGCAGCCCCAUUUUUUCAUUAUUCAGGUCUCGUCACAACCUACGUUAUCUGAAUCUCUCAUAUGUACACUAUCUUCACAAACCCUCGUCUCCGCAUUUCGAAACCCUAACCCUACCCUUAUCAUCUACCUUUUCUCUCCCUAUCUCAAUCCUCCGCUCUCGCUCUCUUCCUAGAUCCUUCCAAUCGAUCCGCCGCUGCCGAUUCUUGGAAGAAUCUGAUCAUCGGCGUGUUCUCGGAACUCUAAUUCGUCGAUUUGAUCUCUGAUUUUUCCUUGUUUGGAGGAUUGAGCUUGUUGUUUGUGAGGGAAAUGGCGGGAGGAGGGAAUCGGAGGGACGACGGAUCUCUGGUGAUAAACAGCACGAAUGUGUUCGCGGCGCUGGGUUCUCUGAGAAAGAAGAAGAAGUCGGAGAAGGAGAGUUCGUCGUCGUCGAGGAGCAAAGGGGCGUCGAAGAAGGCGGAGUCGACGGAACAGCCGCAGGUGUUUUGGGCUCCGACGCCUCUGACGGUGAAAUCUUGGGCCGACGUUGAUGACGAGGAUGACGAUGAUUAUUAUGCCACCACGGCUCCGCCUCAAUCGGGUUGGGGGCCGGCGGAUCCGCCCAAGGCUAAGGAGAGUGUGACUCCUGUAGAGGUUUGGAGAUUUUCUACCAUUGUUUUUCAAUUGGUCUGUUUUUUAUUUAUUUAUUUAUUGGAUUCAGCAUUUCUUCCUUGGAUAAAGGAUUGGUUAUUGCUAUUGAGUUUUAUAUUUGAAUAAUAGUGAAUGUAGGGGAAUAUUUAUAUGUUUACACAUUUUAUGCCGAGACGUGCAACUAAUCCUGUAGCAGGUUUCUGUGGUUUCGUUUGAUGCUAAUGAAUUUUUGCAUGGACAAGGUGGGCUGAAAUUUCGAACCACUUGUUGGUUUAUGCUUUUUACUCGAUUGGAGAUUUAGGGGUUAUCACUAUAUGCGCUCUGUUAUGUAAUCCUUGGUGGGAGUCAUUUAUGCAUCUCUUCAUGAAGAGAGAGAGAGAGAGAGAGAGAAGGGGGAGUGGUUUGGGGAGGGCGGCAAACAGUUAUGUAUGUAAGGAAGAGGCGGCUUCCUACAGUGGUUUAAUAGGAGAGGAAUAAAAACAAUGCUAGAGAAAAUGGUGGGCUUGGGAAAGUAUUUUUGUUCCCACUUGAAUGACUGGGUUUAUUUACUGUUGUUGUAAAUUUACAUAUGUUAAUUUUAUGGAUAAAUUGAAAAUCCCCUAGUCAUGCAAGUGGCAGCUUUGUUGUCAUUCCAAAGAAAAAUGAAUUGAGAGCCUUUUAGCGGGUGACAUGGUGUAUCUUGAUGCAGUGGGAGGCAACUGUUGUUGAGUUUCCUGUGCCACUAGACUAACAUGUAAAAAGAUCCUCCAAUUUCAGGCUAUAGUUAUGCUGCAUUAAUUCUGCCUUCCCACAUUCACUCGAGGAACUUGUUUGCUUGGGAGCAAGCUAAGGGCACUGAAAAAUAUCUUCUAGCUGUUGGGAAUACAUACAUUGCAUGGUAUUAAUGUUAACUUAAUUUUAGUUGGUGGAUAAGAAUAUGCAAGUAGUCUUCUCCUGUGCCUGGAGCUCCCUUUCAGUAAUUUUUUUUUCAUGACAAGGUGACUGGAUUGCCAUUAGUCAUAAAUCCUCAAGCACCACCCUUUUGUGAAGCAAUGCUCCUUGUCUUACGUUGUGUUACAAGAUGGUAAAUUAUUAAUUUGAUUCAUUCUGUAACUUUCAUUUAAUGUCUAAAUGCUAAAAAUUUUAGGAGCCUAAAUGACAACCUUUCUUGUAGCAAAAUUGAUGGAGACUUGCUUACCAUUUUAUCAUUAUGGAGAAACUGCACCGGCAUUGAUCAAAAUUGUUAAAUCUAUGCCCUAACUGAAUCUCUAGAUCUUUCUCUCCUUUUUUCUGUUUCAAUAGGUAAUUUACUACUGUUUUACAGAUAUCCAUUUAUAAACUUGAAUUAAUGCCUAAUACUCUAGAUGUCUAGUGGAGGCUAGUAGCUCAGGAGAUGGCUUUUGAUUUGGACAUCUCAAAUAUAGCACAUCCUACAUGGUAGCUGUUGCACUGUUGUUGUUAAGAACCGUUUUGUUUGAAUCUCAAUGAGAUCUUUAGGCUUUUACAAGAUAUCAAAGCUAUUACAAUGAAUAAAGGAUGCUGAGGAUAUGAUGUAGCUCGUGGUUGUGGGAAUCCCUUUAUUGCCCAUAUUCAUGUCAAUUUGGCAUUUGGCUUGAUGAAGGCAACUCAUAAGAUAAGUUAGAUGUCAGAAUAUGAGGAGUAUUUCAUGAAGGGCCUCUGUGCCUUGAGCUAAAUUCAUUAAUUUACAGAUUUUUUGGAUUUAGUAUUUUUCUGUACUGGAUUCCAGGAAAGUGAAAGUGAAGAAGAAGGUAUUGAUGAAAUUGAUGAUGAUAACGAGGAAGAGCAUGAGAAUGAACAUGAACCUGAGGUACCAGUGGAAAAAGAGCCAGUCAUUAAGAAGCCUCCUGCAGCUUCUUUGCCACCUAAAGAUACAGAAAGGCAGCUUUCAAA